rnacentral:rRNA from 1 species
AGUGAACGCUGGCGGCGUGCUUAACACAUGCAAGUCGAACGAGAACGGAUUAUAGCUUGCUAUAAUUGUCAGCUAAGUGGCGCACGGGUGAGUAAUGUAUAGGUAAUAUGCCUCUUACUAAGGGAUAACAAAUGGAAACGUUUGCUAAUACCUUAUACUCCUUAUUAACCUAAGUUAAUAAGGGAAAGAUUUAUUGGUAAGAGAUUAGCCUGUAUUGUAUCAGUUAGUUGGUGGGGUAAUGGCUUACCAAGACUAUGACACAUAACUGGUUUGAGAGGAUGAACAGUCACACUGGAACUGAGACACGGUCCAGACUCCUACGGGAGGCAGCAGUGGGGAAUAUUGCACAAUGGACGAAAGUCUGAUGCAGCAACGCCGCGUGGAGGAUGACACAUUUCGGUGCGUAAACUCCUUUUAUAUGAGAAGAUAAUGACGGUAUUAUAUGAAUAAGCACCGGCUAACUCCGUGCCAGCCGCCGCCGUAACAC